UACGGAGGGAGCUAGCGUUAUUCGGAAUUACUGGGCGUAAAGCGCACGUAGGCGGCUUUGUAAGUUAGAGGUGAAAGCCCAGGGCUUAACCCUGGAAUUGCCUUUAAGACUGCAUCGCUCGAAUUGUGGAGAGGUGAGUGGAAUUCCGAGUGUAGAGGUGAAAUUCGUAGAUAUUCGGAAGAACACCAGUGGCGAAGGCGACUCACUGGACACAUAUUGACGCUGAGGUGCGAAGGCGUGGGGAGCAAACAGG
rnacentral:rRNA from 1 species